ACAAUUUUCGCCCCCGGUACAAUUUUAACGUGACAGCUGUACUUUUAACAAGGGAUUUCUCAAGAACACUCAACAAGGUUCUUAAAAUAUGUAACAGGACUAAUGGCCCAGUCAGACUACACGAUUUCAGCCCGAUUUUGCCCCGAUUUUUUCGUCGCAGACGAAUUUGCGAAUCGUACACGAUUUUGAGGAGUCGGCGACGAGACGAGGUCUUGUAAUGUGACAUGCUUGCGAUCUGCGAUGCUUUCGUCUGCGACGUUCGAAAACCCCACGACGAAAAGUUUGGCAUGUCAGAAUUUUUUGGGGAAUCGCAUGACGUAUACAUUGUUGACAUGAGGGAACCACGCCCCCAGUUGCGUGAGGGAAGCCCGCGAACAGCUGGAGCUGACGCGCAGUGUUUACCAACUGCCUUCACUGCACUACGCUCAGUAGGAGUAACAACCGCAAAAAUGAAUUCGAUCAAGAAGAUUAACAAAGAAAACGAGAGAAAAUGGAGCAACACUAUGGAGACAACCUUGGUGGAAAUGUGGCAGCAACGUCCAUGCAUUUUCGACGUGUCCUCAAAGGACUUCCACGAUAGGGUGAAAAGGGAUAAAGCCUGGCGAGAAAUAGCCGACACCCUUGACCUACCCGUUGUAGAGAUAACAACUAGAGCUGCGUCUCUGCGGACACAGUUGGGCAAACUGCUCCAUCCCAAACCAAGUGGGAGUGGACAGAAGGAUGUUACCCUGACCCCACGACAGAAGUGGAUCUGUCAGAGUAUGGUUUUUUUGCGGGCACACAUAGCGCAUAGACCAUCACAAACAACACUGAAUUUUGAUGACAGUCAACAAGAGGCCACAGAGAGCAGUGAGGAAGAGACAGAGGCUGAGGGCCCCCCAGCUAUUACCAACCCACCACCACCAUUCCCACCUAGACCUCCACCUGUCCAGGAGUCCAGAGCCCAGAAAAAAAACGAAAGCCUACAAGGGACGUGGAGAUGGAGAUGGAGAAGGAGAAGGUGGGCAUUCUUCGGAAUGUCUCAACAACUUUGCUUGCCGCAGGCCAAGAUGCUGAGGACAUUUUUGGGAAGCAGGUGGCUUGUGAGCUUAAACAGGUGCAGGACAGAACUACACGCUUGAGACUACGCCGAAACAUAAUGUUAAUGCUCUAUGAUGCCCAGGAGAAUGAGCAGAGAACAGCUAACCCUGCUCAAACUUCUUGGCCAGAGCAGAGCACAGGCCACACACCUCUGCAAACCCACCACUUCACCCACAACAUGCCUCCACAGCACAAUACUAUGGGCUACAAUUAUGACUAGUAUCAAAGAGACAUUAUAGAACUCGCCAAUUGUUAUUUUAAUUUAUUUAUUGCAUUUGUUAAAUAUUAGGUAAAUUGUUCGUUCCUUUAUUUAUCGUGUUGCAUCCCAUUGGUUUACUGUCUAACUAUCAUAACACUGUUAUAACGAACUGAUAAAUAAUAGUAUAGUAGUAGUAGUAGUAUAAAUAGAUAGUAUAUAAUAAAUAGUAUAAAGAAAAUGAUAAUAAAUAUUUGUUAAAUGUUGAUUUUCUGUCUAACAUAACACUGUUGUAACUAAUAAAUAGUAGUAUAGUAGUAGUAAUAGCAUAAAUAAGUAUAGUAUAUAAUAAAUAUUAUAAACAAGAUGAUAAUAAAUACUCUGUAAAUAUUGGUUUACUGUCUAACUAACAACACUGGCUUAACUAACUAAUAAAUAGUAGUAUAAUAGCGUAAAUAAAUAAAUAUAUUAUAAAUAGUAUAAACCAAUUGAUAAUAAAUAAAUAUCAAUACAUAAAAUGUUCAAAUCAUAUCCUCCUGCCAAUCAACGGAUCCUUCAGAGGAUUGAAAAUAUGCCUUCAGCAGGUCACGCUGGUCUUUAGCAGUGGUUGUGGCAUUCCGCGCCCUGCUCAAUGCCACAGAGUCAAGAUCUCCACCUCUUCGCCAUGUUCCCGCAAUGACUCUGUGGUUCUCGUCCUCUGUGUCCACAAAGACUGGAGGCACGUAGGCCUCUGAGGAUUUUUCCCUCAGGAAAUUGUGGAGGGCAAGGGCAGCAAGGGUGAUGCACGUAACCUUAUCUGGUUCAAUAGAAAUAUUUGUUAGGAACACACGUAAUCUAUUUGCCAAUAUGCCAAAUGCAUUUUCCACAGUUCGCCUUGCUCUAGAUAAUCUGUAAUUGAAAAUUCGCUGUCCAUGAUCUAGGUUUCUGUGGGGAUAGGGCUUGAUAAGGUCAGAACGGAGAGGGAAGGCUUCAUCACCGACAAACAUAUAGGGCAUGAUUAAAUCUGUAUUGGGAAGUGGCUCAGGGCGAGGAAAAUGUAACACGUCUCUGUCCAUGGCACUGCGGAGAUCUGAGUGUCCAAACAGACUUGCGUCCGACAUUCGGCCCUGAGUGCCAACACUUGCAUAGAUGAAUUUGUAGUUGGCAUCUACAACUGCCAUGAGCACAAUUGAGAACCUGCCUUUGUAAUUAUAAAACGAACUUCCUGAAUUAGCAGGGGGCUGAAUAUAGAUGUGUUUCCCAUCAAUUGCACCUAAGCAAUGAGGAAAUUGGCAUUUGUCUUCGAAUCCGCUCGCUAUCUCUCGCCACUCUGACUCAGUUGUUGGUGUCUGAAAAAUAGACAAAAAUAAACAAAUACAGAAAUACUUGAUUAGAUCAGAAAUAUAUGUAGCCAGAGGCAAAUAUCAUUUAUUAAUUAAUUAACUUAUUAACUUAUCAAAUACCCUAUUAGGGUAUUUAUGACAAAUAUUUUAGGCUACAUAGUAGAUGGAGGAUGUUAUAUUAUAAAUGUCCUGUAGUUGGCAGUACUGUCUAAAUACAUCAUAAUGGUAAACAUCUCCCUAGUGGUAGGCUAAUAGUAGGUUGCUCUGUAAUGCUCAUGGAAAUUAUAUCAUCACAAUAAGGUUUGUUGUGAUGUCAAACAAAGAAAGGAUAUUACAAUACCUUCAUGUGAUCUUCCUUCAGAACAUUGUACAAUGCUUCGCAGGUCUCCAUUACAAUCAAGCCAACAGUAGACCUGCCAAUCCUGUACUGGAAGCUCAGUGACCUGAAAGACUCACCUAAGAAGGCAAACAGGUUAUGUGUGUAAAUAAUAAGAUUUAAUAAUACAUCAUUCUGUUCAAAAUCAUUCCAUUUAGGCCUACCAGUUGCUAGGAAUCUGAGGGUUACAGACAAUCUCUGUCGGGCACUGAUGGCCCUUCUCAUUUUUGUGUCCGUCUUUCUGAUGAGAGGCUCAACUUUCCCCAGAAGGAGUUGAAAGUCCUCUACGCUCAUCCUCAGGAACUCACGGAACCCUUUCCUAUCAGUCUCCUGCAUGAUAAAAAAAAACCUUUCAUUGCUGCAUAUUUGAAAAAGUGUUGUUUUGGGGUACAAGUAGACCUACAGAGAAAACGAAAUGUGGUUGGUUUCUAAAUGGUAGUGCAAAAUAGCGGUUAAGGCGCGGUUUGAACGUGAUUGGCAUAUAGUGCAAUAUAAGUAGGCUACAGUAUAGUUAAAUAAUAGGGUGGGAUAGUGCAGGGGUAAUUAAAACAAACCAAAGUAAAGUAACGAGGUAUGAGAAAAUGAUGGAUAUAACGGGUAAGAGCAACAUAGAUGGACAGUACGGUAAGUAGGCUAUUAAAAGUUUGAUAAUAUAAUAUGAGUGUUGGCAGUUGACACAGUCUUCACGAGCGUACAUUUCACGAGCAUACGAUAACGUCAAUUAUUAUGUAAAUUAAACAUUACCUCCAGUUCGGUAAGUAGCACCGACAUCCCGAGCUCUCCUCUUCUUGCAACCCAAGAACGAGUCCACAAUCUUUUCUUCUUUUUCGUCUCUGCAGAGGACCGCCAGCAUAAUGCCUAGUGCCUAGGUAUUCGGGACGUUGUUGCUGCGUCUACUUUGUAUCGUUCAUGUCACGCGCAACGCAACAACUGUGAGGAAUUGCCGCAUUGAGCAGAUAUAAACAAACGUGCAAACGUGAAUGAUACAAAGUAGAGAGCAUCGCACCGUCGAAUCUUGUUGUGUCUUACUACGAGACAAGCCCCGAUUUCCUGGCUCUGAGAUCGUAUAGUGUGACAUGUUAAAUCGUGGAGGAAUGUCUGAGAAUCUUGUAGUGUGGCCAGUCUUACUACGAGACAAGCCCCGAUUUCCUGACUCUGCGAUCGUAUAGUGUGACAUGGUAAAUCGUGGAGGAAUGUCUGAGAAUCGUGUAGUCUGAACCGGCCAUAAGGUUUGACCAGAAUCCAAACUUGCUCAAUUAAUGUCAGCGACCAACUGAUUAGAUGUCAUCCACAGACUCCACUAAUCAAAGCGCAAGCACAGACUGUAUCCACCUGUUGCUCCGUGGUGAGAUAGAUCGAGCGUAGCGGUCGGCGUCAGCCAUGCUCCGGCAAUAUAUUAAAGUGUAACGUCACGUUUCCAUAGCAACUGGUUCUAAACAAGUAAGGAAUAAUCACCGAGAGGCCGGGCAAUAAACAGUUUGAUAUGCCCGGCUCGUGGACGGCUUACCGCCCGAGACGAAGUCGAGGGCGGUAACCUUCCGCGAGCCGGGCAUAUCAAACUGUUUAUUGCCCUGCCUUGAGGUGAUUAUUCCGUUUAUUCUACUUCGCGCCGGCCAACAUAAUAAAACAAUUCAUAUACUUUAAUAAUUAGCCUUUUUCUUAUUCGUAUUGCAUGCUUAUUAAAUGUAUGCUCUGUUUAACUACAUCUCCCUCGAAAAGUAGUUCCCUUUAGAACUACGGUGAAUAACGUUAGCUCAACUGUAGGUAACGCGUCUCUAUAGCAACCACACAAGGUUGCAACUGAUCACUAGUUUAACAACGUAGUUGUUACAUUCGUAUCAAGUCAGCUUUAAUGACGAUCGAUCAAACAUGCACUCCUUGGUUUAUUUUUACAACGGACCUCAUGUUUGAAAUGUAUGUGAUAGAAAACGAUACAAGCGGCGUAUUGAUCUACAGUGCUCAGUCAGCAGCAAGUAGAACCGACAAGUCAGCGGGCAAUAUGCCGGAUUAAUGCACCCCUCCCAGCCAAUCAGAAUCGAGCAUUCUUAAAUGAAGUAGAACUAGAACUGCAAGCAGUUAUGCAGGGCCAGGGGUCCAAGAAGUGUGCAUUUCGCCGGCACAACGCGACAAGAAAUGUGCGUUUCGCCGGCACAACGCGAAGCAUGUGUUCAAAACGCUACCGCGAACCUGUGGAUACGAAGGUUUCGACUGUGGGAGGUUCGGUGUGGGAGAUAUAGCCCCAAACGCCUUGUCCGCUACCGUUUCGAUUGGUUUGCUUUACCAGAGCCCCGUUGGCCAGCAUGUUUCCAGGUCCAUUCAGACAGCGUCUUGGAUGGACCUGGAAUACAGACACUGUUUCCGCCUCUCACGACGUGGACGAGGGGUUGGGAUUUGAGAGGCACA
rnacentral:lncRNA from 1 species